CCUACGGGAGGCAGCAGUGGGGGAUAUUGCACAAUGGGGGAAACCCUGAUGCAGCGAUGCCGCGUGAAUGAAGACGGCCUUCGGGUUGUAAAGUUCUGUCGCAGGGGACGAAAAUGACGGUACCCUGCAAGAAAGCUCCGGCUAACUACGUGCCAGCAGCCGCGGUAAUACGUAGGGAGCAAGCGUUGUCCGGAAUUACUGGGUGUAAAGGGAGCGUAGGCGGGAGGAUAAGUUGAAUGUGAAAUCUAUGGGCUCAACCCAUAGCUGCGUUCAAAACUGUUCUUCUUGAGUGAAGUAGAGGCAGGCGGAAUUCCUAGUGUAGCGGUGAAAUGCGUAGAUAUCGCACAGAACUCCGAUUGCGAAGGCAGCGUACCGGCGCCAGACUGACGCUGAGGCACGAAAGCGUGGGGAUCGAACAGGAGUAGAUACCCCAGUAGUC
rnacentral:rRNA from 1 species